CAGUAGCCGCGGGAAUACGAAGGGGGCUAGCGUUGCUCGGAAUGACUGGGCGUAAAGGGCGCGUAGGCGGUUUUGACAGUCAGAUGUGAAAUUCCUGGGCUUAACCUGGGGGCUGCAUUUGAGACGUCAAGACUAGAGUGUGAGAGAGGGUUGUGGAAUUCCCAGUGUAGAGGUGAAAUUCGUAGAUAUUGGGAAGAACACCGGUGGCGAAGGCGGCAACCUGGCUCAUUACUGACGCUGAGGCGCGAAAGCGUGGGGAGCAAACAGGAUUAGAUACCCGGGUAGUCCCUGUCUCUUAUAC
rnacentral:rRNA from 1 species